rnacentral:rRNA from 1 species
AUACGGAGGGUGCUAGCGUUGUUCGGAAUUACUGGGCGUAAAGCGUACGUAGGCGGACUGAUCAGUUGGGGGUGAAAUCCCAGGGUUUAACCCUGGAACUGCCUUCAAUACUGUCAGUCUUGAGUUUGGGAGAGGUGAGUGGAAUUCCUAGUGUAGAGGUGAAAUUCAUAGAUAUUAGGAGGAACACCAGUGGCGAAGGCGGCUCACUGGCCCAUUACUGACGCUGAGGUACGAAAGCGUGGGGAGCAAACAGGAUUAGAAACCCUAGUAGUCC